GGCGAACGGGUGAGUAAUACAAAAGCAACCUACCUCGGAGUGGGGUAUAAUCCCGCGAAAGCGGGACUAAUCCCCCAUAUUCUCUUAGAACGUCGGUUUUAUGAGGAAAGGCUUCGGUCGCUCCGAGAUGGGCUUUUGGCCCAUCAGCUUGUUGGUGAGGUAACGGCCCACCAAGGCUAUGACGGGUAGGGGGUGUGAGAGCAUGUCCCCCCACAUGGGAACUGCGACACGGUCCCAACUCCUACGGGAGGCAGCAGUCUAGAAAUUUGCGCAAUGGGCGAAAGCCUGACGCAGCGACGCCGCGUGAGGGAUGGAGUCCUUCGGGAUGUAAACCUCUGUUGAGGGGGACGAUGAUGACGGUACCCCUCGAGGAAGCCUCGGCUAACUCCGUGCCAGCAGCCGCGGUAAUACGGAGGAGGCAAGCGUUGUCCGGAAUCACUGGGUGUAAAGGGUGUGUAGGUGGCCUGCUGGGUCA
rnacentral:rRNA from 1 species